CUGCCGGUGAUAAACCGGAGGAAGGUGGGGAUGACGUCAAGUCAUCAUGGCCCUUACGAGUAGGGCUACACACGUGCUACAAUGGCGUAUACAAAGAGAAGCGACCUCGCGAGAGCAAGCGGAACUCAUAAAGUACGUCGUAGUCCGGAUUGGAGUCUGCAACUCGACUCCAUGAAGUCGGAAUCGCUAGUAAUCGUAGAUCAGAAUGCUACGGUGAAUACGUUCCCGGGCCUUGUACACACCGCCCGUCACACCAUGGGAGUGGGUUGCAAAAGAAGUAGGUAGCUUAACCUUCGGGAGGGCGCUUACCACUUUGUGAUUCAUGACUGGGGUGAAG
rnacentral:rRNA from 1 species